CUUAUGGGAGAGCAUUUAUCUGAGCAGGGCUCAGAGCUGAGAAAUUUUGCUGCAGUGACUACUGGGGACCUGAUGGUAUUUUUAAAAAUUCCUCUUUGGGGGAAAAGUAGACAACCUUUUUUAUUUUGGGGAUGUCUAUUAGGGACUGAGUUAUGCCCCUUUCCCAAUCCAUAUAGUGAUACUCCCACCCCCAGUGUGAGAUAGGGCCUUCAGGAGGUGAUAAGUGUUAGAUGAGCGCCUAAGGGUGAGGCCCUUACAAGAAGAGCAAGAGACACCAGAGAUCCCACACUCUCACCUGGAGCACAGGGAAAAGGCCAAGGGAAGACACAGCAAGAAGGCAGCAGUCUGCAAGGCGGAAAGCCAGGCCACGCCAGAACCCAACCCCGACGGCGCCUCGAUCUCGGACUUCCAGCCUCCAAAACUGAAGCUGGGACUGACCCCAGGGUGCUGGCUCAAUGAUCCUGAAGGAAGAGACUGGAAGGACUGCAGGAACACAAAAGCAGACUCAUCCUGCCGUUCCAGGUGGCUUCUAUGAGUCCAAGGUUCUUCAGACAUAAGUGACAUCUAGAGGACAGAAAGUUAAAAACCAUCCAGGU